rnacentral:rRNA from 1 species
UACGGGGGGGGCAAGCGUUGUUCGGAAUUACUGGGCGUAAAGGGCUCGUAGGCGGCCAACUAAGUCGGAUGUGAAAUCCCCAGGCUUAACUUGGGAACUGCAUCCGAUACUGGAUGGCUUGAAUCCGGGAGAGGGAUGCGGAAUCCCAGGUGUAGCGGUGAAAUGCGUAGAUAUCUGGAGGAACACCGGUGGCGAAGGCGGCAUCCUGGACCGGCAUUGACGCUGAUGAGCGAAAGCCAGGGGAGCAAACGGG